AGUUGCUAGAACACAGGGGGAAAGUGAGAAGAACAGAUAAUGUAAGCUCAGUCUUGGACAAGAUAUGAGUCAGUACUCUAUUUUAUUCUAAAUUUAAUCAAUUGGUUAAAAGUGGCUAAAGAGAAUCAGUUUAUCUCUUCUAUCCAAACUCGCCUUGCAUAUUGUUUUCUAAUGUCGCCUCACAUUUCUCAGUCUCUUCCUCGCUGUGCUGCCAAGUCUCUGCCUCCAAUGUCAUUUCUUUUAUUCCUUCUCCAGACACCGCCUGCCACCUCCACGGAGUUACCAAGUGGUCUGGGUUCGACUCAUCCUUGGGUUCCACCACCACAAAGUUCCCCUUACCAGGAUCGCCAUUGGAAACUCUGCCACAGGACGUAUCACAACAAGGAUUUCACUGUUUGGGUGUUUUUUUGCUACGUGCCACUCUGCCUGAAGAUUUGUCUAUUCACCUUUGGAUUAACCAUCCUCCUGGAGCCUCUUCAUCUUCUAAAAACCUGUAAGCAAAAGAAGAUUUAUUAUUCAUUGCAAUAUUCAUCAUAAACUUCUCAAAUGUUUUGGACUUACCUUGGACUCUUCCCCUCCUUUUCAGAUAGAUGACCACUGCCGCACCUGUAAAUAAAAACACUUGUCCUGUGUCUUCAGUACCACUCACAGUCUGACAUUUUUAAGUUUAUGUCAGAACCUAAGUGUCUAUUCAGGUCAUUAAUUUUUGGUGUUCUGAUACUUUGAUGUGAUCACAUUUACUUCGUUAUUUCUUCACUGCUUUAACGUAUAGUGUUAUAAAAUAGUGAAGACACAAGCGAAGAAAUUUAGUGUAUUCAGACAUAGAAAAAAUUGUGAAUGUCUGGAAAAAAUAUUGAAACCUCAAAUAUAAUUUUAAAGGCAUGGCAUCAGUUUCUUUAGAGGCCCUUCUCACAAAAAGUAAAAUAAAAAAUGUAAUAAAAAAACAA